rnacentral:rRNA from 1 species
GAGUUUGAUCAUGGCUCAGAUUGAACGCUGGCGGCAUGCUUUACACAUGCAAGUCGAACGGCAGCACGGGGGCAACCCUGGUGGCGAGUGGCGAACGGGUGAGUAACACAUCGGAACGUACCCAGUUGUGGGGGAUAACCUACCGAAAGGUAGGCUAAUACCGCAUGAGCUCGAAAGAGGAAAGCGGGGGACCGCAAGGCCUCGCGCGACUGGAGCGGCCGAUGUCCGAUUAGCUAGUUGGUGGGGUAAAGGCUUACCAAGGCGACGAUCGGUAGCUGGUCUGAGAGGAUGAUCAGCCACACUGGGACUGAGACACGGCCCAGACUCCUACGGGAGGCAGCAGUGGGGAAUUUUGGACAAUGGGGGCAACCCUGAUCCAGCCAUGCCGCGUGAGUGAAGAAGGCCUUCGGGUUGUAAAGCUCUUUCGGUGGGAACGAAACGGGCGCGGUGAAUAUCCGCGUUCAAUGACGGUACUCACAGAAGAAGCACCGGCUAACUACGUGCCAGCAGCCGCGGUAAUACGUAGGGUGCGAGCGUUAAUCGGAAUUACUGGGCGU